UGAGUAACACGUAGGUAACCUGCCCUCGAGACUGGGAUAACAUCGCCAACGCGAUGCUAAUACCGGAUAAAGCACAGGAUUCGCAUGGAUUUUGUGUUAAAGUUGGCUUCGGCUUGCACUUGAGGAUGGACCUGCGCCCCAUUAGUUAGUUGGUGAGGUAACGGCUCACCAAGACUGCGAUGGGUAGCCGGCCUGAGAGGGUGAUCGGCCACACUGGGACUGAGAUACGGCCCAGACUUCUACGGAAGGCAGCAGUAAGGAAUAUUGCGCAAUGGUCGAAAGACUGACGCAGCAACGCCGCGUGCAGGAUGAAGCUUCUAGGAGUGUAAACUGCUUUUAGUUGGGAAGAACAGACAGGUUUCGAAUAGGGACUUGUUUUGACGGUACCUUUAGAAAAAGCCCCGGCUAACUCCGUGCCAGCAGCCGCGGUAACACGGGGGGGGCAAGCGUUGUCCGGAAUUAUUGGGCGUAAAGGGCGCGCAGGCGGGAUGAUCAGUCUGAGGUGAAAUCUUUUGGCUUAACCGAAAGCUUGCCUUGGAUACUGUCAUUCUUGAGUUCGGAAGAGGGAAGUGGAAUUCCUGGUGUAGCGGUGAAAUGCGUAGAUAUCAGGAAGAACACCGGUGGCGAAGGCGGCUUCCUGGUCCGAUACUGACGCUGAGGCGCGAAAGCGUGGGGAGCGAACAGGAUUAGAUACCCUGGUAGUCCACGCUGUAAACGAUGGGUACUAGGUGUUGGUCCUUUUUAGGAUCAGCGCCGCAGCUAACGCAUUAAGUACCCCGCCUGGGGAAUACGACCGCAAGGUUGAAACUCAAAGGAAUUGACGGGGGCCCGCACAAGCGGUGGAGCAUGUGGUUUAAUUCGAUGCAACGCGAAGAACCUUACCUGGGCUUGAACCGUAGUCGAAAACCCCUGAAAAGGGGUCCUCCUUCGGGACGGCUAUAGAGGUGCUGCAUGGCUGUCGUCAGCUCGUGCCGUGAGGCGUUGGGUUCAGUCCAGCAACGAGCGCAACCCUUGGCGUUAGUUGUCAUCAGGUUAUGACUGGGAACUCUAAGGGGAGUGCCCGGGAUAA
rnacentral:rRNA from 1 species